rnacentral:rRNA from 1 species
CCUACGGGAGGCAGCAGUGGGGAAUAUUGGACAAUGGGCGAAAGCCUGAUCCAGCCAUGCCGCGUGUGUGAAGAAGGUCUUCGGAUUGUAAAGCACUUUAAGUUGGGAGGAAGGGCAGUAAGUUAAUACCUUGCUGCUUUGACGUUACCAACAGAAUAAGCACCGGCUAACUUCGUGCCAGCAGCCGCGGUAAU